rnacentral:sRNA from 1 species
AUUAAUAUGAGUAACUACAGUGGCGAAUCCUCCAUGGAUGCGGAUUACAACGUCGAUGAAGCUGAAUCUUGGUCAACUGGACCAGAGAGAGAGCGACAGGCUUAUGAGAGCUUCAGAGCUGAGACCCAACGCUUAGUAGCUCGACGCAAUGAGAAGAGAGCUGAGAGUGCUAGAGGAAAGAGAGCAAUGACCAGCAGAUAUGAGAUGAUCGACGAAGAUAUUGACGUCGAGUAUGAGCCUGAGUCAUGGCACAGAGAGACGAAGCUGUUGAACAGGCCUGAUGAAGUUACAGUGGAGGAGUACAUCAGACUUUUUGAGCUCAAUGACUUCUGGGGAACGAGGUACCCCUGUUAUCAGACUUUGGCCCAGCUGGGGCUACUGGAGGACGUACAACACUUAUUCGAGAAGUGUCAUCUGGAGACGCUGAUGUCUUACCCAUACGUUGCUUACAAGAAGGAAACAAUAGAGUUUCUCUCUACUCUGCAAGUGGAGAUGUAUCAAGGACUUACAGCAGAUGAGCUGGAGAGUGAAGGGUUGGGGUUCUUGACUUUUUCAGUGAACGAGCAGCGUUACCAGCUAUCUAUCAAGAGCUUGAAAGGAUUGUUUGGUUUCCCCAAUGGAAAGGGAACUAAACCCAAGUUCGAGAGGGAAGAGUUGAAAAAUUUGUGGUUAACCAUUGGGAACGAUAUAGCGCUCAACUCUGCGAGGUCUAAGAGCAACCAGAUUCGAAGCCCUGUAGCGAAUGUUCUGUACUCUAGGGAAUCUACAGGCAUCGUGUCUAACACAGACAUGGAGAUGAUUGAUUCUGCACUCAAGGGCAUUCUCCGCAGAACAAAGGGGAAGAAGGUCCUGAAGGGCGACCUCAAUGAUGCACCAGCGGUUAUGCUUCUGUUGAUCCACCUGUGUGGAUACAGGAAGUGGGCGCACACCAACGAGAAGAAGAGGGUGCGAGGAGCCCUUUGUGUAGGUGGUGUUGUGACACCGAUUCUGAUUGCAUGUGGUGUACCGCUCAUGUCUCCAGGGUUUGAUCCGAGGAUGAUGGAUUUAGAUCAUUUGCGUCGUUGUGAGUUUCUGGAGCACGACAUGGUUGGCGAUUUCUAUCGCUACAAAUUCGAGCACUCCUUGACCCGAACAGCCAACAUUCUGCUUCCCUGCACCGAGGCCAUAACCAUACUUCAGGGCGAAAACAUUGACUUCAAUCCUGCGCGUGAUUACCUCUACUUUGAGAGCGCUCCACCGACUGAUGACAACGGCCCUACAAAAGAAGCUACAGAGGAUGAGAUUGCUGAGACAGAUGAGGAUAGAAAGGAGGAGUACGAUACGAGCAUGUAUCAUUUCAGUGAGAAUGUACCUCCAGCGCGGGAGAGCAAGAGCUUGAGCGAAGCUCACAGAAACAACAGUAAGUUGCAGAGGUGGUGCAAGAAACAAGAUAGGCUACUCAUCAAGUGCUUCAAGGCCAUCAAGUUUCUGACAGACAAGCUAAGCUGCUCCUCUUCUACCACAGCUAUUCCGCAGGGAGAGCCUCCUCAGGACAUGCCCUCGAAGAGAUAUGACGCGCCAGAGCCAACUCGCCACUGGCCUGAGCUAAGUCACCACAGGCCUGAGCCUAGUGACCGAGUAGUCCCACCAGUCCCUGUGUGGCAUUCAUCAUUCAAGCCUCGGGAGCUCGGGAGAAAGAAGAAGGCGGCACUCGCUCGGUCUGGCAGUAGGAGUACACGACUUCUCCAGUCCCGUAGCUUACGCAACCACGGUGAUGGCCGCAGCAUAAGAACAGAGGUCGAGUAUCAUCAGAGCGCUGCUGGCCGCGACGAAGGAGCAGAGGUCGAGUACCCCCAGGGGGAAGCUAAGACACAACAGGGAGAUUCUUCGAUGGCCUGGGAGCAAUCACAAGCAGCUAUUGACGACCAACUCCGCUCCUUCUUCCACUGAGGUAAGCACCUAUCUCCACCAUUGUAAUAUACCAUCUCCUGUUUUUAUUUUGUUUUUGUGAUGUGUUUUGUCCUGAGUACUCUCUUCCAAAUUUGGUCACACAGUGGACUGUGUGAUUUAAGUUUGGGGGAGGGCUCAGGAAGUGUGUGUUGCAUUGUAUAUAAUCUUGAGUCUGCAUUCAUCUGAAGCAUAGAAAAACCCAAAAAA